CCGCGAGGGAAAGAUGAAAAGGACUUUGAAAAGAGAGUCAAAAAGUGCUUGAAAUUGUUGGGAGGAAAGCGAAUGGAUGCCUCAGUUGCCAGCUGGCUGUGCGUGGAACGGCCCCUUGUGGCUGGUCUGCCAAUCAGCUCAGCUGGCCCUCCAGCGUGGGGGUGGGCGGUGCUACCAAGUGUGGGGGGCUUCUGUCCCCUGCCUAUGGUGCUGCUCUCCCUUGUGGGUGGGGACGCGCCAGUCUUUGGCAGGGCCUUACGGCCCUUGCGUCCUUCCGAUGCUGGUGUCCUGGGCGUUCCAUCCGACCCGUCUUGAAACACGGACCAAGGAGUCUAACAUGUAUGCGAGCCUGCGGGUGAAACACCUGGCGAGGCGAAAGGAAACUGAUAUGUGGGAUCCCUCCCGGGAGCACCAUUGACCGACCCUGAUCUUUUGUGAAAGGUUCGAGUGAUAGCAUACCUGUUAGGACCCGAAAGAUGGUGAACUAUGCCUGAGCAGGGCGAAGCCAGAGGAAACUCUGGUGGAGGCUCGUAGCGAUACUGACGUGCAAAUCGUUCGUAGGACUUGGGUAUAGGGGCGAAAGACUAAUCGAACCAUCUAGUAGCUGGUUCCGGGCCAAGUUUCCCUCAGGAUAGCUGGAGCUUUUUCGGAGUUUUAUCGGGUAAAGCGAAUGAUUAGAGGCCUCGGGGGUGAAACACCCUCGACCUAUUCUCAAACUUUAAAUAGGUAAGGUGUUGGGGUUGCUCUGGUGAACCCCAACUUUGAAUCCGAGCUCCAAGUGGGCCAUUUUUGGUAAGCAGAACUGGG
rnacentral:rRNA from 1 species